GGUCUGAGAGGAUGAUCAGCCACACUGGGACUGAGACACUGCCCAGACUCCUACGGGAGGCUGCAGUCGAGGAUCAUUGGCAAUGCGCGAAAGCGUGACCAUGCGACGCUGCGUGGAGGAUGACGGCCUUCGGGUUGUAAACUCCUGUCAUUCGGGAAAAACGGGCCGGUUCUUAAUAUGGGCCGGCCGUGAUGGUACCGAAAGAGGAAGCCACGGCUAACUCUGUGCCAGCAGCCGCGGUAAUACAGAGGUGGCAAGCGUUGUUCGGAUUUACUGGGCGUAAAGCGUGCGUAGGCGGUUCCGUAUGUCGGAUGUGAAAGCCCAUGGCCUAACCAUGGAAGUGCAUUCGAAACUGCGGGACUAGAGUGCAGGAGGGGAGAGCGGAAUUCAUGGUGUAGCGGUGAAAUGCGUUGAUAUUAUGAAGAACACCGGUGGCGAAGGCGGCUCUCUGGAAUGCUACUGACGCUGAGGCACGAAAGCUGGGGGAGCAAACAGGAUUAGAUACCCUGGUAGUCCCAGCCGUAAACGGUGCGCACUUGGUGUUGGGGGUGUUGACCCCCUCAGUGCCGGAGCUAACGCGUUAAGUGCGCCGCCUGGGGAGUACGGCCGCAAGGCUAAAACUCAAAGAAAUUGACGGGGGCCCGCACAAGCGGAGGAGCAUGUGGCUUAAUUCGAUGCAACGCGAAGAACCUUACCAGGGCUUGACAUGGCGACCCUUCGGGGGUGGUAGCGAAAGUUACCUUUACGAUCACAGGUGCUGCAUGGCUGUCGUCAGUUCGUGCCGUGAGGUGUUGGGUUAAGUCCCGCAACGAACGCAACCCCUGUGGUUAGUUGCCACCGCCGGUGAUGAGCCGGCGAGCACUCUAGCCAGACUGCCCGUGCAAGCGGGAGGAAGGUGGGGAUGACGUCAAGUCAGUAUGGCCCUUACGCCCUGGGCUGCACACGUGCUACAAUGGUCGGUACAGAAGGAUGCAAUGCCGCGAGGUGGAGUAAAUCCUCAAAGCCGACCCCAGUUCGGAUUGGAGUCUGCAACUCGACUCCAUGAAGUUGGAUUCGCUAGUAAUGGCGCAUCAGCUACGGCGCCGUGAAUGCGUUCCCGGGCCUUGUACACACCGCCCGUCACAUCAUGAAAGCCGUCUGCACCCGAAGUCACUGAGCUAACCUUUUACUAGGAGGCAGGUGCCGAAGGUGUGGGUGGUGAUUGGGAUGAAGUCGGAACAAGGUA
rnacentral:rRNA from 1 species